AUAAAUAAUACAGUAAAAAUGGUAUUAUUGUAAAAUAUUACAUUUACUGAAAAUUCAGCUAUUAUGUCCUCUGUGUCAUUCUUCAGAAAUAAUAUGCUGGUGCUUGAGAAACAUUUCUUAUUAUUAUCAAUGUUAAAAACUGUUGUGCUGCUUAAUAUUUUGUGGAAACCAUCUUUAUUUAUUUUCAGGAUUGUUUGAUGAAUAGAAUAUUCAAAAGCACUGUAUUUAUUUGAAAUAGAAAUGUUUUGUAACUGUCUAAGUUUCUUUACUCCCACACUUCAUCAAUUUAAUGCAUCUUUUCUGAAUAAAAGUAUUGAUUUCUUAAAAAUAUCUUAUACUGACCCCAAACCUUGGAACAGUAUUGUGUAGUAAGAGAACUGUAAAUGGAUUUUGAUUAAUAGCUGCUAAAUUCUAAAGAAGCAAAUGAGAUGAUGUGCAAUGAAAUUCGUAACACUGCUGUAUGUGCACUAGGUGGCAUGGUUGGGUCAAGGUUAUGUGUUAGUACACCUGCUGCAAAGAAAGGCAAAUUCCAUCUCUCACUUCUUUUAGCCUACACUUCUUUAUAAACUUGUAACUGUUGUUUAAAUAGCCUACCUUAACUGUGUAAUAACCAUUUUACCCUACAAGAUGGCUUCAUCAUUAAAGCUAGAGUUCGAAUCCCUAUCUUUGGAUUUUUAACCUCAGUAGAAGGAUGAUGGUUGAAGCAGGCCUGAUAUUGGAAAAGCUGAGAGGAGAGAGCAAAAAACAACAACAAGGCCAAAGUGUGUGUCUCUGCUCCUCGCUCCAACGUCUGUUGCAGGUGCCUUAUCGUUGUGGAUCUUGUCACUACUCAUAAUCAGAGGUGUGUGCUAUCUCCAGUCUCCAUUCCACGAUCUCCUGCGAAACAAGAAACAAGGUUAUACUCACCGUCAAUCCACGAACUGUUCCAUUGCCCUUGAUACUCACCUGCCAUUACCA